rnacentral:lncRNA from 1 species
AUGGGUAGAUGUCACAGAUGAUUAAUUGAUUUCUUACCUAUGUAAUUAUAUUUUUAUUUUUGUUCGUACGUAAUAUAUGGAUUCAUGAAUCCGUUAUUUUCAAUUGUAUCUUUUAAGUGGUAUUUUUUGCUUCGUUUCCUAUUUUUAUCUCAAAAAAAGAAACUUAAGAAAGUGCUUUAUAAACAUAUGUAUAAUAAAGACCAUAUUUCAUCUAGUUUCCUUAUGCCCACUAUAA